rnacentral:lncRNA from 1 species
GAUUCGUUUUCCAGGAGCUGGAUCACCCUGACAGGCCGAACGGUAACACAAGCCUGAAUCAACCCUGAAGGUGUUUGCCUAUUAUGAUCCAGAUACGUGGGCAGAAGACAGAUCCUGGGACUAUAGGACCCCAGUAUAUAUACUUAAUAGAAUAAUUAGGUUAUUAGCUGUAAUAGAAAUAGUUAUAAAUGAUGAGAACUGCUUUGUAUCAAAAUUGCCUAGCUUUGGAUUAUUUACUAGCACAAGAAGGAGAAGUCUGUGGAAAAUUUAGCUUUAGUAAUUGCUGUUUAAAGAUUGAUAAAAAGGGUGUUUCUUCCUAGUAGCUGAUAGAAUGUUAUGUUCUGGUUUAGGAUGAGAAGAAUGUUAAUAAUAUGCUGAUGUUUUAAUUGUUUUUAAUUGUUACAGAGCAGUGCUUACAUCAAGCCAAGGACCAAGCCAAAUUCAGCUUCUCACUGUCCUGCCAGCAGGCAGGCUGGGAGGAGGGCCGGACUGCUCGGGGUUAGGUUGGGCAUCGGACAGCAGGUGGUGAGCAAUUGCAUUGUGCAUCACUUGUUUCGUACACAUUAUUACUAGUAGUACUAUUAUAAUCAUUAUUGUUAUUAUUAUUAUUGUUAUUAUCUUCUUGUUUUUAUCUCAACUCACAGGCUUCACUUUCCCAUUUCUCUCUCCCAUCCCAGAGAAGGAGAGGGGGGAGGUGAGCGAGCAAACACAAACCUGGAAGGAUAUGGAAUGGGAUUUAUUUUCAUUUAUUUUCAUUUAUUUUUAUUUUCAUGGCUGCCUGGUGGACCAUGGGUUAAAAGAGUGUUAUUUUUAUUGUUAUGUGGUGUAAAGAUGUUAUUGUCUAUACCUUGUAUGAUACCUUGUCUUACAUUAUUAAUACACCGGGUGAUAAAUAGUACAUUGGUAAUAACUUCAUUAAAAAAGGAAGGGAAUAUGUCAAUUAUGAUGCUUAAGAACUGGACCCCGGAAGCUAAUUAUAAUAAUCUAUUUUUUUUAGAAGUAGUAAUGAAUAUGUAUUAGUCUAGGUGCAUAAAAAUCAGCUGCUUGAUGUAACUGGUGUGCGUCCUGGUGGAGCGGAGACUCCCGGUGCACCCAGCACUGUUUGCUUACCUCUAUUCCUUUAUAAUCUUUUAAUAAAUCCUAUUUUUUUAUUUAAUCCUAAUUUGAAUCCUGAGCCAUUUAUAACAGUCUGAGAUAAGGGCAAGUGGCUGAGCACCAUUCUUCUUGAAAUGGCUUUGUCUAAAUGGCUGAAACUCAGACAUUCCUAUUUAUUCUUCUUUUCAAGUUGUAAAAUCUAAAAGCACAUAAAAUAAGCAGCAGGUGACCAAAAACAGAGAUACAGUGAUUAACUGGACAUGUAGGAGAACUCCAAAUGGAGUAGAAAUACACACUUCUAUAGAGAUUUAUAGAUUUUUUUUGUUUCAAAGUGUUCAAAAACUGUUUAAUUACAGCAGAAACAGACAAGUUAAAACUCAUGUGGAAACUCACAUUAGAUAAAGGGAAGUGUGUGAGAUCUACUCUGUGAGAAUGUCCUAGAUAACGAGCAACAGCUGUGAGGUUUUGGUCUCACUUUCAUUUUAAUGGCAUCCUCCAGUGAUAUGCACUGGAUUUCAAGCCUUUGCGGCACUGUCAGCUCCUGUGAUGAUCCACAGAAUAUGGACAUUUGACAGGUCUUUAAUAAAUAGUUUGCAGCUGGGAUUAAUUGAAGUUCAGCUGUAUCUAGCUUGAGUUCAGCAGAAGAGACAGUGCUGUUAACUCACCUUUUUGGUACAAAAGAAAAAGAGAAAGAAGGAAAAAAAAAAUCCUUGGACACUUGCUAUCUUUUCAGACACUAAUUAUGAGAGACCUCAUUUUUGCAGAGGAUCAAAAUGGAGUAGCAACCGACAGUAAUGCAUUGUCUCUCAAAGAAAACUGCAGCUAAAAGCACUAGAAAACACUUUUUUUUUUUUCCUUCAGAUUUUAACCUACCUGUAGUCGAUUAAAAACUCUCCAGGGAACUCCGUCUGAUGGCUUUUUGGCAGAGAUGGGAUCUCAGGGAUGCGUUUCGUUUCCAUUUCAUUAAGGGUCUUCUGGCAGUAAUU